GUGAGGAAUAUUGGUCAAUGGACGAGAGUCUGAACCAGCCAAGUCGCGUGAAGGAAGACGGUUCUAUGAAUUGUAAACUUCUUUUGUGCAGGAAUAAAGUGGGUUACGUGUAACCUUUUGUAUGUACUGUACGAAUAAGGAUCGGCUAACUCCGUGCCAGCAGCCGCGGUAAUACGGAGGAUCCGAGCGUUAUCCGGAUUUAUUGGGUUUAAAGGGUGCGUAGGUGGAUUGAUAAGUCAGCGGUGAAAGUUUGCAGCUUAACUGUAAAAUUGCCGUUGAAACUGUCGGUCUUGAGUGCAAAUGAGGUAGGCGGAAUGUGUUGUGUAGCGGUGAAAUGCUUAGAUAUAACACAGAACUCCGAUUGCGAAGGCAGCUUACUGGGAUGCAACUGACACUGAUGCACGAAAGCGUGGGUAUCAAACAGGAUUAGAUACCUUGUAGUCC
rnacentral:rRNA from 1 species